AAGUCGUAACAAGGUUUCCGUAGGUGAACCUGCGGAAGGAUCAUUAACACUAUUUCAUUUUAUUGAAAAUUUAUUUUUCAAUAAUUUACUUACCCACAUUUUUGGAUGAAUUAUUUCUUUUUUAUUCUUUUUUAAAUUUUAAACCCAAAUACCAUAUUAUUUCUAACAUUUAUACACAAAGUUUAAGAAAAACAUAAAAAACAACUCUUAACAACGGAUAUCUAGGCUCUC
rnacentral:misc_RNA from 1 species